UGGGGAAUAUUGGGCAAUGGGCGCAAGCCUGACCCAGCCAUGCCGCGUGAGUGAUGAAGGCCUUCGGGUCGUAAAGCUCUGUGGGGAGGGACGAAAAGACCCUGGCUAAUAUCCAGGGGAACUGACGGUACCUCCUUAGCAAGCACCGGCUAACUCCGUGCCAGCAGCCGCGGUAAUACGGAGGGUGCAAACGUUGCUCGGAAUCAUUGGGCGUAAAGCGCACGUAGGCGGCUUGUUAAGUCGGGUGUGAAAGCCCUGGGCUCAACCCAGGAAGUGCAUUCGAAACUGGCAAGCUUGAAUAUGGAAGAGGGUCGCGGAAUUCCCGGUGUAGAGGUGAAAUUCGUAGAUAUCGGGAGGAACACCAGUGGCGAAGGCGGCUGACUGG
rnacentral:rRNA from 1 species